AUGGUCAUGGUGACAAUGAUGGUGGUGAUGGUGAUGCUGGUGGUGACGAUAGUGCUGGUGGUGGUGAUGGUGAUGGUGGUGACAAUGGUGGUGGUGGUGGUGAUGAUAGUGGUGAUGUCCGCAUUCCAGGCAGACGCUGUGUGCAGUCCUGUGCCAUUGCACUUCCAAGAAUCUCACGUGUGUGAACUUGUGUGAACCUCGCAGCCACCUUUGAGAGAUGGAAGUAACUUGCUGAAUCUCACAGUGGUCGGCGCCUGCGUCAGGAUUCAUCUCAGGCAGGCUCCCCCAAGCUCACGCCCUGCCGCACCGCCGCAAGAUGCAGGCCUGGCCCGGUGGAGCCCAGAUGCACAGCUUCCCUGCCGUGGGACCCACUCCUCUCUCAGCAUUCCAGGAAGUGACAGGACCUGCUCCCUGUGGAAGGCCCUUUUCCUUUUUAUAUUCCUGACAGCACUCCAAGGAGGCACGCCCGUGGACCAUCUCGCUGAUACCAGGGGAGCUGCCAGCCAGCCCCCGCACCAGGGCCACGGAGCCUUGGGGGACAGAGCCUCGGGGGACAAGGCGGGAUGAGACCUGUCCCCUUCCUGGGGCCACAGACUGGAGCUGAGCUGGCGGAGGCUGUGCGCUGGGAUCGAAGUGCUAACUUAGUCUGGACGGAGCUUUGGGCACGGGAAUUGACCAGGAAGUGAUGGAGCUGCUCGCAGUGUUUGAAGGGACAGAAAGAUUUGAGGAGGCACAGCUGGAAGCAGGAAUUGAAAACACAUUAAAAAGCCGUUUCAGGGGCUUCCCUGGCGGCAGAGCUUUCAGAUGAGCAGGGAAAGGGAGGAACCGUGAGCAUCAGAGAGGAGAGAGCGACGUGAAGAGUGGACACAAAGGUAAUGGGAAGAAUGCGAUGGAAGGUCCCAGUCCUUCUAGUAAAACAGAGAGACGGUCAGAGGGCGUCUAAGACAAACCCUCCCUCUGUCAUUUAUGAGAAAUGCAUGUAAAGCCGCAGGCUAAAGAAGGGCUGGAGGGACUUAGGUGCUCAGACCCGUGCAAACAAAAAUAAGGCAGGACCACCCAAAUUAACAUCAGAUAAGGUGGCCUUUAAGAUCACAACAGAGGAAGAAGAAAAGCAAAAAUUAUAAAGGGGAUCAAACAGUCAUAAACUUGUAUGAACAAAGCAAAAUGUGGUUAAACACACAGAGCAGAAGUAUCAGAAUUGCAAGGACAGCUGGGUAAUAUACCCAGGAAAAGUCGGUACAUUUGAUUCAAUAGGUGGAGGUUUUUACAUCUAUGAACAGAAAUAAUACAUCUCAUUCGUAUGUCCCUGGAACGGCUACAGAAAUUAUCUAUUUGACCACAAAGAAGACCUGAACCAAUAGAGAAAAGCAGAGAAGAAGGCCAUAUUUUUAUCAUAAUCUGAGAAAACUGGCAGUAAAUAAUAAAGGUGUGACGAAUAUAAUGUUAACUACUUUGAUAUUAGGAAACACACUUAUAAAAAACACUUAAAGAGGCCAUCAAGAGGGAAAUUAAAAAUUAUUGGAAAGUGGUGAAAGUAAGAAUGUUACAUUCUCAAAACUCCAGGACACGGCAAAACCGUAUAUUCAGUGGGAAAUAAAGACAAAGGCCAUCAGUAUUAAAAUAGGAAAACAAAAGUCAAAGGACCUACUUACCCAGUUUAAGUACAAAAAGAAAGUAGGAAGAUGGAAUUGAUGAAGAAGAACAGAAAUGAAUCAGAAACCUAGCUUCACGCCUCUCUUAGAAGAUAAGUGCGGCCUGGUCUUUGCAAACACCCGUGAGCAGAAGAACCCGAGCUCACCCUGACUUGCACUUUCUUUGUGAAAGAAAAAUGAGAUACAGAAACACACAAGGUUAAGGUUCAGAAAGGAGACAUAAUGACAGGGUCAGGAGAUUAAAGCAUUUUAAGGAAACUAUUCAACACUACAGCAAAAAUUUGAAAACCUGGAGGAAAUGGGGAAGCCCAAGGGUGUGAGCCUUCGAAGGGGGAUCAAGGAAUCGAUGCCAGGUGAGGCCUAGCUCUGUCACUUAGCAGCUGUGUGACCUUAGGCCAAUUACUUAGCCUCUCUGUGCUUCCGUUUCCUAUCUAUAAAAUGGACAUCAUAAUAGUUCCUACCUCUUUGCAGUUGUGAGGAUUAAAUGAGCUCAUAUAGGGGACGUCCGCAUUAUUGAUAAAAUAGUCUCUCGAUGGGCUCAGAGUAAAUAAUAAUACAAAUCUUACGAGAAUGUCCCGAGAAUUAGAUGAACCACAUAGGACAGGAGAGAGAACCCUCCUCAUUCAAACUAAAACAAGAGUUCUCGCUGGCUAUACUAAAACUCACGUGUAGCAAAAGGCACCAUAAAUCCAGUCCACGUACAAGUGACGGAUCAAGGAGAGCACUAGUGACUCAGCAGCUGUAACAGCAAGAGCUCUUAAACGCUGACAAGGAAAACACAGAAGAGAAGUGGGGCGAAGGCCUGUGGCCGGCACAGGUGUGACAAUGCACCAGCCCACCCGCCGGGGUCAGGGAACAGCCGAGAAGUGGCAAGAACGCAGGGCACUGGCUGCCUGACUGGACCAGAGCCCGGACAGCCUGCUGGCCUCCAGGGACCGCCUUGCAGAAAUCCAUCGGGCAACACGCACGCAAUCAAAAAUGCCAACAUUCCUGGGAUUCUGUUACAGAGAAAUAAAAACACCCGUAAGUUCAAGGAGGCUUAUGGAGCAUCGGUCAAAAGCUGGAAGCCAGGUGGCUUCCCCUCAACAGGGAGCAUUCUGGUCCUGUGCACAUCAAACGUUGUUGAUAUUAAUACUAAACAGCUGCGAGAGGGGACAGAGUGGAUCCCGCGGUCUGAGGCAGCGGGGGAUCAGAGCCCGUGUCUGAUGAGCCCCUGUUUUAAAAGCAGCGACAGCCCCCAGUGUGUCAUGUACAUUUAACUUUAUCGGAUGUUAUAUAAGCAUUGGGAAAAACAGGGGGUGCACACUGGAAUUUUACGGGGUGCUGACAGAGGGAGAGGCAAGCCAGUUAUGUGUGAAAGGAAAGGGCGGCUCUAAAAACUAGUCAUCACAUUGUGCAGGUUCACGGAAUUAUGUUUGUGUGAUCACCAUGCAGAAAUAAAACGGAGAGAUUUUCGCCCUUGUUAGAAUAAAUAUCAGACUUGGUGUGCGAUGGGGUGCACUCAUGUUUGUCAGGAAUCGGGGUGCGGCUUCCCACGCUCGAGAAGCAGGAGUGCCAGGCGGCCCGGGCCUGCCCCCCAGCAGGCGGGGGCUCCGGGCGGGGUCGGACCAGGCGCCCAGCUCACCGUGACUUGCACUUUGCCGGGCCGCGCAACCCUGCCCACUCCAGCCCCGGGCUGCCCUUUGUUCCA